GCCGCAUGGCACCCCGGCUAAAGCCCCGACGGGAGGGGAUGGCUCCGCGGCCCAUCAGGUAGACGGCGGGGUGACGGCCCACCGUGCCGACAACGGGUAGCCGGGUUGAGAGACCGACCGGCCAGAUUGGGACUGAGACACGGCCCAGACUCCUACGGGAGGCAGCAGUGGGGAAUCUUGCGCAAUGGGGGGAACCCUGACGCAGCGACGCCGCGUGCGGGACGGAGGCCUUCGGGUCGUAAACCGCUUUCAGCAGGGAAGAGUCAAGACUGUACCUGCAGAAGAAGCCCCGGCUAACUACGUGCCAGCAGCCGCGGUAAUACGUAGGGGGCGAGCGUUAUCCGGAUUCAUUGGGCGUAAAGCGCGCGUAGGCGGCCCGGCAGGCCGGGGGUCGAAGCGGGGGGCUCAACCCCCCGAAGCCCCCGGAACCUCCGCGGCUUGGGUCCGGUAGGGGAGGGUGGAACACCCGGUGUAGCGGUGGAAUGCGCAGAUAUCGGGUGGAACACCGGUGGCGAAGGCGGCCCUCUGGGCCGAGACCGACGCUGAGGCGCGAAAGCUGGGGGAGCGAACAGGAUUAGAUACCCUGGUAGUCCCAGCCGUAAACGAUGGACGCUAGGUGUGGGGGGACGAUCCCCCCGUGCCGCAG
rnacentral:rRNA from 1 species